rnacentral:rRNA from 1 species
CUCAGAUUGAACGCUGGCGGCAUGCCUUACACAUGCAAGUCGAACGGUAACAGGUCUUCGGAUGCUGACGAGUGGCGAACGGGUGAGUAAUACAUCGGAACGUGCCCGAUCGUGGGGGAUAACGAAGCGAAAGCUUUGCUAAUACCGCAUACGAUCUACGGGUGAAAGCGGGGGACUCGCAAGAGCCUCGCGCUAUUGGAGCGGCCGAUAUCAGAUUAGGUAGUUGGUGGGGUAAAAAGCCUACCAAGCCGACGAUCUGUAGCUGGUCUGAGAGGACGACCAGCCACACUGGGACUGAGACACGGCCCAGACUCCUACGGGAGGCAGCAGUGGGGAAUUUUGGACAAUGGGCGCAAGCCUGAUCCAGCCAUGCCGCGUGCGGGAAGAAGGCCUUCGGGUUGUAAACCGCUUUUGUCAGGGAAGAAAUCCUUUGAGUUAAUACCUCGGGGGGAUGACGGUACCUGAAGAAUAAGCACCGGCUAACUACGUG